rnacentral:rRNA from 1 species
GAUGAACGCUAGCUACAGGCUUAACACAUGCAAGUCGAGGGACCGGCGCACGUGAGUGUAACACGUACCCAACCUGCUCUUUACUCGGGGAUAGCCUUUCGACAGAAAGAUUAAUACCCGAUAUAUAGGAGCGGGAUGCGUUCGAUUAGGUUGGUGGUGAGGUAACGGCUCACCAAGCCUUCGAUGGAUAGGGGGUCGGAGAGGAAGGACCCCGACAUUGGAACAGAGCCCAGGUCCAAACUCCUACGGGAAGGAGGAGUGAGGAAGAUAGGUAAAUGGGCGCUAGCCUGAAACGGCCAAGUAGCGUUAAGGAUUAUGGGUUAUAGGUCGUAAACUUCUUUUAUAUAAGAAUCUGUAUUAUAUGAAUAAGGAUCGGCUAACUCCGUGCCAGCAGCCGCGGUAAUAC